GAUGAACGCUGGCGGCAGGCCUAACACAUGCAAGUCGAACGGUAACAGGAAGAAGCUUGCUUCUUUGCUGACGAGUGGCGGACGGGUGAGUAAUGUCUGGGAAACUGCCUGAUGGAGGGGGAUAACUACUGGAAACGGUAGCUAAUGCCGCAUAACGUCGCAAGACCAAAGAGGGGGACCUUCGGGCCUCUUGCCAUCGGAUGUGCCCAGAUGGGAUUAGCUAGUAGGUGGGGUAACGGCUCACCUAGGCGACGAUCCCUAGCUGGUCUGAGAGGAUGACCAGCCACACUGGAACUGAGACACGGUCCAGACUCCUACGGGAGGCAGCAGUGGGGAAUAUUGCACAAUGGGCGCAAGCCUGAUGCAGCCACGCCGCGUGUAUGAAGAAGGCCUUCGGGUUGUAAAGUACUUUCAGCGGGGAGGAAGGGAGUAAAGUUAAUACCUUUGCUCAUUGACGUUACCCGCAGAAGAAGCACCGGCUAACUCCGUGCCAGCAGCCGCGGUAA
rnacentral:rRNA from 1 species